rnacentral:rRNA from 1 species
UCGGGAAUUUUGGGCAAUGGGGGAAACCCUGACCCAGCAACGCCGCGUGAAGGAUGAAGUAUUUCGGUAUGUAAACUUCGAAAGAAUAGGAAGAAUAAAUGACGGUACUAUUUAUAAGGUCCGGCUAACUACGUGCCAGCAGCCGCGGUAAUACGUAGGGACCAAGCGUUGUUCGGAUUUACUGGGCGUAAAGGGCGCGUAGGCGGCAUGACAAGUCACUUGUGAAAUCUCUGGGCUUAACCCAGAACGGCCAAGUGAUACUGUCGCGCUAGAGUGCAGAAGGGGCAAUCGGAAUUCUUGGUGUAGCGGUGAAAUGCGUAGAUAUCAAGAGGAACACCUGAGGUGAAGACGGGUUGCUGGGCUGACACUGACGCUGAGGCGCGAAAGCCAGGGUAGCAAACGGGAUUAGAUACCCGCGUAGUCCCUGAGCGGGCUGGCAAGGCG